rnacentral:misc_RNA from 1 species
GAUGAAGAACGUAGCGAAAUGCGAUAAGUAAUGUGAAUUGCAGAAUUCAGUGAAUCAUCGAAUCUUUGAACGCACAUUGCGCCCGUCAGUAUUCUGGCGGGCAUGCCUGUUCGAGCGUCAUUACGCCCCUCAAGUCCCCUGUGGACUUGGUGUUGGGGAUCGGCGAGGCUGGUUUGCCAGCACAGCCGUCCCUUAAAUUAAUUGGCGGUCUCGCCGUGGCCCUCCUCUGCGCAGUAGUAAAACACUCGCAACAGGAGCCCGGCGCGGUCCACUGCCGUAAAACCCCCCAACUUUUUAUAGUUGACCUCGAAUCAGGUAGGACUACCCGCUGAACUUAAGCAUAUCAAUAAGCGGAGGA